rnacentral:rRNA from 1 species
AGCAGUCGCCGCGGUAAUACGAAGGGGGCUAGCGUUGUUCGGAAUUACUGGGCGUAAAGCGCACGUAGGCGGAUAUUUAAGUCAGGGGUGAAAUCCCAGAGCUCAACUCUGGAACUGCCUUUGAUACUGGGUAUCUUGAGUAUGGAAGAGGUGAGUGGAAUUCCGAGUGUAGAGGUGAAAUUCGUAGAUAUUCGGAGGAACACCCGUGGCGAAGGCGGCUCACUGGUCCAUUACUGACGCUGAGGUGCGAAAGCGUGGGGAGCAAACAGGAUUAGAUACCCGAGUAGUCCCUGUCUCUUAUAC